rnacentral:rRNA from 1 species
ACUCCUACGGGAGGCAGCAGUGGGGAAUCUUGCGCAAUGGGCGAAAGCCUGACGCAGCCAUGCCGCGUGAAUGAUGAAGGUCUUAGGAUUGUAAAAUUCUUUCACCGGGGACGAUAAUGACGGUACCCGGAGAAGAAGCCCCGGCUAACUCCGUGCCAGCAGCCGCGGUAAUACGGAGGGUGCGAGCGUUAAUCGGAAUUACUGGGGCGUAAAGCGCAUGCAGGCGGCCUGUUAAGUCAGAUGUGAAAGCCCGGGGCUUAACCUCGGAAUUGCAUUUGAAACUGGCAGGCUAGAGUCUUGUAGAGGGGGGUAGAAUUUCAGGUGUAGCGGUGAAAUGCGUAGAGAUCUGAAGGAAUACCAGUGGCGAAGGCGGCCCCCUGGACCAAAGACUGACGCUCAGAUGCGAAAGCGUGGGGAGCAAACAGGAUUAGAUACCCUGGUAGGAUAGCG